CCUACGGGAGACAGCAGUGAGGAAUAUUGCGCAAUGGGCGCAAGCCUGACGCAGCGAAGCAGCGUGAAGGAUGACGGUCUUCGGAGUGUAAAACUCUUUAAGUGAGGACGAAGAAAGUGACUGUACCCACAGAAUAAGCCUCGGCUAACUACGUGCCAGCAGCCGCGGUAAUACGUAGGAUGCAAGCGUUAUCCGGAAUGACUGGGUGUAAAGGGUGCGUAGGUGGGUUGACAAGUUAGUAGCGUAAUUCCGUGGCUCAACUUCGGAACUACUACUACAACUGUUGGGCUUGAGUGCAGGAGAGGUGAACGGAAUUCCUAGUGUAGCGGUGGAAUGCGUAGAUAUCAGGAAGAACACCAGUGGCGAAAGCGAUUUACUAGACUGUCACUGACACUGAGGCACGAAAGCGUGGGUAGCAAACAGGAUUAGAUACCCCAGUAGUC
rnacentral:rRNA from 1 species